UGGGGAAUUUUGGACAAUGGGCGCAAGCCUGAUCCAGCCAUGCCGCGUGCGGGAAGAAGGCCUUCGGGUUGUAAACCGCUUUUGUCAGGGAAGAAAUCUUCUGAGUUAAAUACCUCGGGGAGGAUGACGGUACCUGAAGAAUAAACACCGGCUAACUACGUGCCAGCAGCCGCGGUAAUACGUAGGGUGCAAGCGUUAAUCGGAAUUACUGGGCGUAAAGCGUGCGCAGGCGGUUUUGUAAGACAGAGGUGAAAUCCCCGGGCUCAACCUGGGAACUGCCUUUGUGACUGCAAGGCUUGAGUGCGGCAGAGGGGGGAUGGAAUUCCGCGUGUAGCAGUGAAAUGCGUAGAUAUGCGGAGGAACACCGAUGGCGAAGGCAAUCCCCUGGGCCUGCACUGACGCUCAUGCACGAAAGCGUGGGGAGCAAACAGGAUUAGAUAGCCCUGGUAGUCCACGCCCUAAACGAUGUCAACUGGUUGUUGGGAAGGUUCCUUCUCAGUAACGUAGCUAACGCGUGAAGUUGACCGCCUGGGGA
rnacentral:rRNA from 1 species